rnacentral:rRNA from 1 species
UACAGAGGGUGCAAACGUUGCUCGGAAUCACUGGGCGUAAAGGGCGUGUAGGCGGGAAGGAUAGUCAGAUGUGAAAGCCCUGGGCUCAACCCAGGAACUGCAUUUGAAACUCCCUUUCUUGAGUGUCGGAGAGGAAAGCGGAAUUCCUGGUGUAGAGGUGAAAUUCGUAGAUAUCAGGAGGAACACCGGUGGCGAAGGCGGCUUUCUGGACGACAACUGACGCUGAGACGCGAAAGCGUGGGGAGCAAACAGG